GCAAGAGGAAAGGAUAGCACAUGGAGAAAUCUCUUGCAUUUUUCUAUCAUGUGGAAUAUUUUCCUCUUCCUGCUGCUCUUUCCAUGUCCCUGGGCCUGGGGGAAGGAUGGCUCCCUUGGACUAUGAGAGAAAAAUGAUGUGGAAACCUCUUUCAUCAUCUCUCCUAACCCUCAGCUUCUCCUCUGGCUGUGCCCAUCCUCCCUCCUCUAUCCCUGGCCCGGGAACCUUUUUUUCCUCCAACAUUACCUACAGCCCACAUCUCAGCUAGAGCCCACUCCUCAGUAGGAAGUGAGCAAUUCCUAUCACAUGAGGGCAGAAGAGAAGAGAGAGAGGUCAAGGUCUGGGGCUGUGGGAGAAGGUGCAGCAAGAAUGAAGGAGGUUAGAGUGAGAAGGACUUCCAAAUGACGGUGAGAUGUGAGUUAUCACAGGGUGACUGAGAACAUCGCCUGCAUCUCUAUUUAGGAGGGUGGGAAGGGCCUUGGGUACAGGGGCAGAGAGCAUGGACAGGGUCUGGAUGAGAUUCACCCCCAUCCUCACCCCUGUCCUCUGACAACAUCUUACCCCAUGUCACACCGAGGGAGCCCUUCAGGCCCAGGUCAUCCACCAGACAGGUGUUUCCUGGCUCCUCUCCAGCAAAGACCCCACCAGUGCCCAGUCUUUAUGUGUUUUGUCUCCCCACUGUCAGGUCCCCCUGAGUCCUGAGUCCACAGUCAGCUCCUUCCCUUCCUGCAGCCAGGUCAGCAUGGUGUUGGCUGGGAAAGAGUCACAUGCUCAGCCUCUCACAGUGUGAUGGCCCUCAGAAUCUUCCUUGUCAGUCACCACAACCUUGGGGGACCCUGCAUGCUGGAGAGAUGGAGUGAGGUGGGGCCCCACCUUCGCUUCCUCCCUCUUCUCCUAGUCUUCCUCCACAGCAGCGCCUCCUCCCUCCCCCAGCCCCAGGACUUCUGAAAGCCCAGGCAGGGAGGGGGGAAGGCCACUUCUGUGCCAGGACUCUCUCCACAGUGUGCGCACUUCCACUCCCACUGCAGUUGUAGGGCCUGCUCCGUGCAGAGCCCCGGGUACUUGCAGACGGCGAUCCAGGAAUGUUCUUCCUUCAAAUGUCUGCGUGGCUCCGUUCCUCACUGCUUCAAGUCUGCUCAGCUGUCACCUCAUUGAGGCCCAUCCUGACCGCACCCUUUAAAAGUGCCACCUCUCCCAUCACCUUGCAUUGACUGUUGGCUUGGCAUUAUUUUUUUCCUCUAUGUCUCCUAUCACUUUCUAUCGUACCAUGAAGUCUUCUUUUCCCAAGGAUGGCCUCGACAAUAUCCCCCCUCCACAUGCUCUUUUGCAGUGUGACCUCGUCAUCUCCUGUCUAGAGGUGGGGCCUAAUUCCCCUGCCCUUGAUGUGUGACAAGUUUUGGUGAUUAGAACAUGGGAAGCUGACACUGCUGGAUUUCUGAGUUUCUGACGUAAGAUGCUUUGUAGUUUUUGGCUUGUCCACUUGAAACACUCCCUCCCGGAACCCAGGUGCUGAGCUGAGAGCAGCUAAGCCACAUGGAGAAGCGGGUGGAGGAGAAUCUAGGUCACCCUGUUAACAGCCCCACUGAGCUCCCAGCCAACAGCCAGCAUCACCUGCAGCCCCAUCAUGGAGCCCUCUUGAAUGUUCUGGAUCAGUUGGGCCUCCAGAUGACUGCGGUCCCAACCCAUGUCACAUGGAGCAGAAGAGCUGCCCGACUCAGCCCUGUCAACCCACAGAAUGAGAGAGAUCAAAAAGGAACCUGAUGUGGUCUAAAGAAUGCAAGAGCUACUUCAGACUCAACCAAGUAGUGGUCCUGAUGCAGCUGCUGUGCUGGAUGUGAUGUCACUGCUAGAGCAGGUUAGUAAGGCCUCAGGCACAUGGUAUGUGGCUGUAGAUUUGGUGAGUGGAUCCUACUUUAUUCCAGUUAGAAAAGUGGAGGUGGAAUGAUUAGCAUGCACAUGGAAGGAACAACAUUUAUUUCUAGUUUGCCUCAGGUUUUCUUUAACGCUCCUGCCCUCUACAAUAUAGUCCUUUUUUUUUUUUUUUUUUACAGAGGAAGAUUUACCCUGAGCUAACGUCUGUUGCCAAUAUUCCUCUUUCUUUCUUUCUGUUUUUUUUUUCAUGUGAACCACCACCACAGCAUGGCCACUGACAGAUGAGUGGUGUAGUUCUGUGCCCAGAAACUGAACCUGGGCCACUGAGGUGGAGCACACCAAACGUAACCACUAGGCCACUGAGGUUGACCCUAUAACAUAGUCUUAAGAGUUCUGAACCUCCUGGAUAUUCUGUAGAAUAUCACAUGAGUUCAUUUCAUUGACAACCCCAUGUUGAUUGGGAUGGAUGAGUAUGCUGGAGGCCUUGGUCAAACACAUGCACUCCAGAGGGUGGAAGAUAAACUUGACAAAGACUCAGGGAGUGGCCACCUCAGUUUGGUUCUAGAGGCCCAGUGGUUAGGGGCAUGGAGGGAUGUCGCUUCCAAAGUAAAUGACAAACUGUUGAUCUUGCAUCCCUCACUGCAAAGAAGGAAGCACACUACCUGGUAUGCCUUUUUGGGUUCUAACAACAACAGCCUAGGUAACAUUCCACCCCUAGGUACAUUAUUUGGCUCAUACUCUGGGUGACAUAGAAGGAUGCCAGCUUUGAGUGGAGCUUGGACAUUAAAGGCACUGCAGUAGAUCCAGGCCAUGGUGAAAGCAGCCACCAUUCAUCAGAUCCAAUGGUGUUGGAGGUGUCAGUGGUGGGAAAGAUGCCAUGUGGAGCUAAAGGCAAAUACCAGUGGGAGAAUCAUAUGCUGCCUCCUGGGAUUCUGAAGGAAGGCCAUGCCAUCUGCAGCAGAGAAAUAUACCCUCUUUUAGAAGCAACUUUAGGUGUGUUAUUGAGCGCUGAGAAGACAAAACUUGACUAUGGGACAC
ensembl:lncRNA